rnacentral:misc_RNA from 1 species
GAAAUGCGAUACGUAAUGUGAAUUGCAGAAUUCCGUGAAUCAUUGAAUCUUUGAACGCACAUUGCGCCCUCUGGUAUUCCGGGGGGCAUGCCUGUUCGAGCGUCAUUAACACCUCUCAAGCACUGCUUGGUCUUGGGCUGCGCCGGUGAUCCAGCGAGCCCUAAAAUCCGUGGCGGUGCCACCUAGCUUCACGCAUAGUUAAUCACUGGCGGCGGAGCAUAGGCGGUGUUGGCCAGCAACAAAACUCUAGGUUGACCUCGGAUCAGGUAGGGAUACCCGCUGAACUUAA